rnacentral:rRNA from 1 species
AGUGAACGCUGGCGGUAGGCCUAACACAUGCAAGUCGAACGGCAGCACAGUAAGAGCUUGCUCUUACGGGUGGCGAGUGGCGGACGGGUGAGGAAUACAUCGGAAUCUACUUUUUCGUGGGGGAUAACGUAGGGAAACUUACGCUAAUACCGCAUACGACCUACGGGUGAAAGCAGGGGAUCUUCGGACCUUGCGCGAUUGAAUGAGCCGAUGUCGGAUUAGCUAGUUGGCUGGGUAAAGGCCCACCAAGGCGACGAUCCGUAGCUGGUCUGAGAGGAUGAUCAGCCACACUGGAACUGAGACACGGUCCAGACUCCUACGGGAGGCAGCAGUGGGGAAUAUUGGACAAUGGGCGCAAGCCUGAUCCAGCCAUACCGCGUGGGUGAAGAAGGCCUUCGGGUUGUAAAGCCCUUUUGUUGGGAAAGAAAAGCAGCGGGUUAAUACCCCGCUGUUCUGACGGUACCCAAAGAAUAAGCACCGGCUAACUUCGUG